rnacentral:rRNA from 1 species
GAUGAACGCUGGCUACAGGCUUAACACAUGCAAGUCGAGGGGAAACGACGGGGAAGCUUGCUUCCCCGGGCGUCGACCGGCGCACGGGUGAGUAACGCGUAUCCAACCUGCCUCUGACUGAGGGAUAACCCGUCGAAAGUCGGCCUAAUACCUCAUGGCAUCGUCUGCGGGCAUCCAACGACGAUUAAAGAUUUCAUCGGUCAGGGAUGGGGAUGCGUCUGAUUAGCUUGUUGGCGGGGUAACGGCCCACCAAGGCUACGAUCAGUAGGGGUUCUGAGAGGAAGGUCCCCCACAUUGGAACUGAGACACGGUCCAAACUCCUACGGGAGGCAGCAGUGAGGAAUAUUGGUCAAUGGGCGGGAGCCUGAACCAGCCAAGUAGCGUGCAGGAUGACGGCCCUAUGGGUUGUAAACUGCUUUUAUGCGGGGAUAAAGUGAGGGACGUGUUCUUCAUUGCAGGUACCGCAUGAAUAAGGACCGGCUAAUUCCGUG